GCUUUUGUACGAGAAGAAUUCUCUUGACGUGUCAGGGGUUGACGGUAUCGUACGAAUAAGCAUCGGCUAACUCCGUGCCAGCAGCCGCGGUAAUACGGAGGAUGCAAGCGUUAUCCGGAUUUAUUGGGUUUAAAGGGUGCGUAGGCGGGAUAUUAAGUCAGUGGUGAAAUCCUGCAGCUUAACUGUAGAACUGCCAUUGAUACUGAUAUUCUUGAGUAUAGUUGAAGUGGGCGGAAUGUGUAAUGUAGCGGUGAAAUGCUUAGAUAUUACACAGAACACCGAUUGCGUAGGCAGCUCGCUAAACUAAUACUGACGCUGAGGCACGAAAGCGUGGGGAGCGAACAGGAUUAGAUACCCUGGUAGUCCACGCUGUAAACUAUGAUCACUCGUUGUUGGCAAUACACAGUCAGCGACUGAGCGAAAGCAUUAAGUGAUCCACCUGGGGAGUACGGCCGCAAGGUUGAAACUCAAAGGAAUUGACGGGGGCCCGCACAAGCGGAGGAACAUGUGGUUUAAUUCGAUGAUACGCGAGGAACCUUACCUGGGCUUAAAUGCAGAACGACGUACCGGGAAACUGGUACUCCCUUCGGGGCGGACUGCAAGGUGCUGCAUGGUUGUCGUCAGCUCGUGCCGUGAGGUGUCGGGUUAAGUCCCAUAACGAGCGCAACCCUCAUUGUUAGUUGCCAGCGAGUAAUGUCGGGGACUCUAACGAAACUGCCGGUGUAAACCGUGAGGAAGGUGGGGAUGACGUCAAAUCAGCACGGCCCUUAUGUCCAGGGCUACACACGUGUUACAAUGGCCAGUACAAAGGCAGCUACCACGCGAGUGGAUGCUAAUCUCUAAAGCUGGUCUCAGUUCGGAUUGAAGUCUGCAACUCGACUUCAUGAAGCUGGAAUCGCUAGUAAUCGCGCAUCAGCCAUGGCGCGGUGAAUACGUUCCCGGGCCUUGC
rnacentral:rRNA from 1 species